GUACCUUGUGUUACGGACCGUAACAUCGGACCGUAACACAGGGAAAAUUUCCAGAAAGUUUCUGGAAAUUUUCAUCAGGGUACGACGCGACGUUACGGUCCGUACCCUGUGUUACGGUACCGUAACGUGGGCGCGUUUUGGUCCGCAUUUGAGAUUCGGGUCAACUGACUUCGGGAGGCCAUAACCCCAUCGUAAGUUGAGAAUUUGGGAAAACUCAAAGAAUGAAAGUUGUAGAUUAUUGAAAUAUCUUUCCAACCAUAGGUUGUGGGUUCACAAGCGACGUCGGGAUUGGGAGAUAUGGACGUUUUAAGACAGAACAGUCCCGACCCGUUUUCAAGUUGGGUCAACCCAUUUUCCCUUGGUAUUUAAAGAAAAUGAAACCCUAGAAGCCUCAUUUUUUCCCCUCAUUUCAGAUUUUAGAGAGAGGAAAAAGAGAGAGAGAAAUUUAGAGAGAAGAAGGAGAAAAUCAACCAAUUUUAAGGCCCCGAAUCCUAAAGCUCGUGAAGGAUAAAGUGUAGUACGAGUUGUGGUCGUCAUUUUAAGCUAAAGAUCGGGCUUGGGAGUGUUGAUUUCGUGGUGACUACCCAAAAGAUUGAAGUUGAAGGGGGUGAAGGACAUUGUGAUACGCUCAAAAGCGGAAGGUUAAGGUACGGAUUUACAGGACGACGCUUCUGAUCAUUAGGAUUUGCUCGUGCUAGCUUAUUGGUGAGCCCCAUUUCAUUCGGGGUUUUAAGCAUUGUCUUCUCUAUGUAGUUUUGCAUGUAAAGGUAUGCUGGGGGCCUUGUCCCAGUACGUAUGACUUCCAGUCCAAACUCAAAAUAGAGGUUUCAUAGACUAGACAAAUCAGUUAUGUCAUGAUAGACAUUUGAAGUCAUAUGGACAUUUGGGCACACUCAUGUUUAAACAAGUACUUUAUUAUGUAAUAUGACCUAUUAUGUUGUACAAAGGUUCAUCAUGCAUUCACGUCAUAUUCCGCUUAUAAUAUGAAAUCAUGUUA